UACGUAGGGUGCGAGCGUUAAUCGGAAUUACUGGGCGUAAAGCGUGCGCAGGCGGUUUUGUAAGCCAGAUGUGAAAUCCCCGGGCUUAACCUGGGAAUGGCAUUUGGGACUGCAAGGCUCGAGUGCGGCAGAGGAGACUGGAAUUCCUGGUGUAGCAGUGAAAUGCGUAGAUAUCAGGAGGAACACCGAUGGCGAAGGCAGGUCUCUGGGCUGACACUGACGCUGAGGAGCGAAAGCGUGGGAGCGAACAGG
rnacentral:rRNA from 1 species